rnacentral:rRNA from 2 species
UGGAUCCAGACUUUGAUCAUUGGCUCAGGAUGAACGCUAGCUACAGGCUUAACACAUGCAAGUCGAGGGGAAACGAUAGGAAAAGCUUGCUUUUUCUAGGCGUCGACCGGCGCACGGGUGAGUAACGCGUAUCCAACCUGCCCAUCACUUGGGGAUAACCUUGCGAAAGUAAGACUAAUACCCAAUGAUAUCUCUAGAAGACAUCUGAAGGAGAUUAAAGAUUUAUCGGUGAUGGAUGGGGAUGCGUCUGAUUAGCUUGUUGGCGGGGUAACGGCCCACCAAGGCAACGAUCAGUAGGGGUUCUGAGAGGAAGGUCCCCCACAUUGGAACUGAGACACGGUCCAAACUCCUACGGGAGGCAGCAGUGAGGAAUAUUGGUCAAUGGACGAGAGUCUGAACCAGCCAAGUAGCGUGCAGGAUGACGGCCCUAUGGGUUGUAAACUGCUUUUAUAAGGGAAUAAAGUGAGCUACGUGUAGCUUUUUGCAUGUACCUUAUGAAUAAGGACCGGCUAAUUCCGUGCCAGCAGCCGCGGUAAUACGGAAGGUCCGGGCGUUAUCCGGAUUUAUUGGGUUUAAAGGGAGCGUAGGCCGGAGAUUAAGCGUGUUGUGAAAUGUAGAUGCUCAACAUCUGCACUGCAGCGCGAACUGGUUUCCUUGAGUACGCACAAAGUGGGCGGAAUUCGUGGUGUAGCGGUGAAAUGCUUAGAUAUCACGAAGAACUCCGAUUGCGAAGGCAGCUCACUGGAGCGCAACUGACGCUGAAGCUCGAAAGUGCGGGUAUCGAACAGGAUUAGAUACCCUGGUAGUCCGCACGGUAAACGAUGGAUGCCCGCUGUUGGUCUGAAUAGGUCAGCGGCCAAGCGAAAGCAUUAAGCAUCCCACCUGGGGAGUACGCCGGCAACGGUGCAACUCAAAGGAAUUGACGGA